rnacentral:rRNA from 1 species
GACGAACGCUGGCGGUGCGCCUAACACAUGCAAGUUGAACGGUGAACCGGGCUUCGGCCCGGGGAUCAGUGGCGAACGGGUGCGUAACACGUGGGCAACCUGCCCCCGACCCUGGGAUAACCCCGGGAAACCGGAGCUAAUACCGGAUACUCUCCUCCGACCACAUGGUCAGAAGAGGAAAGGUCCGCCGGUCGGGGAUG